rnacentral:lncRNA from 1 species
CCCUGGUAUCUCCCGAGAGUGUCUGCCUCCCCGUCAGCCCUGGGGGAGUUAUCAGCAUCUUCUACAGGCCUCGCUGGGGCUCCCACACACCACCAGUUUGUGGCAACCUCAGGACAAAGAUUCAGAAAGUCCACCAUGUUUUUUUGUUUUUUGUUUUUUGUUUUUUGAGACGGAGCCUGGCUCUGUCCCCCAGACAGUUAGUGCAGCCGCGCCCAGCCCCCACCAUGUUUUUAAAUGACACCAACUUUCGACUCAAUCCUAUCUUGGACUAAAGGCCAAAGUAAAGGCACCUGCAGAAAAUGUUGCUACAGAGAGGCAGAGGGAGACGGGCUAUCUCCCAAACGGAGGUGGAAAGGCUGCUUAACAGCUGGCUAGCCUCUAAUCCUUACAUUAAUAAGGGCCACUGCCAAACUAAAUGUUUAGGACGUUGUUACAAGCAUAAAGAAGUUAUAAGAUCAUAAAAAUGUUAGAAGAAAACAUAGGAUUUCCCCCCAGUCUUCCAGGAAUCUUCCAAGCCUUAAAGCUAACAUAAGAAAAAAAACCAAACAGCAAACUCGAGGAAAAUGGUUACAAGUCAUCCAGAAGGGUUAAUUUACAUCAUACAUAAAGUGUACCUAUAAAUACAUAAGAAAAUAAUGCUUCUCACAGCAUAUACACACACAUAAAGGCAAAGGAAAUGAAGAGACUGUUCAAAGAACAGGAAAUACAUCAAACUAGAAAAUAUGUAAAGAUUUGAUAAUCCCCUGGGUCAGGGAGGGUGUAGGGAACAGAACCACACAUAUUAUUUCACCCUCCCACUUCUAAAAAUUUCUUACACGUGUGCAAAUGUCUGUGCAUGCCAAGAUUUCGUGAUAUAUUGUGAAUAUAACAGCAAAGACUGGAGACAAACUUAAUGCUUCCUCGGUAAGUGAUUAGUUAAAUAAAUGGCAGUCCAGUCUGAUAUUACCUACUAUAGUCAAUUUUUAAAAAUAGAUAUGCAUGAAGAUAUCCACUGUUGUUGCAUAUACUAGACAAAAGCCACCACUGGGAUGACCUCAUGGUAGUCAGUUCAGUAUUUUAUUAUUUUUUUUUGAGACGGAGUCUCGCUCUGUUGCUCAGGCUGGAGUGCAGUGGAGUGAUCUCGGCUCACCGCAACCUCCGCCUCCCAGGUUCAAGCGAUUCUCCUACCUCAGCCUCCCGAGUAGCUGGGAAUACAGACGUAAACCACCAUGCCCGGCUAAUUUUUGUAUUUUUAGUAGAGAUGGGGUUUCACUAUGUUGGCCAGGCUGGUCUGGAACUCCUGACCUCGUGAUCCGCCCGCCUCGGCCUCCCAAAGU